GAUGAAGAACGCAGCGAAAUGCGAUAAGUAGUGUGAAUUGCAGAAUUCAGUGAAUCAUCGAAUCUUUGAACGCACAUUGCGCCCCUUGGUAUUCCAUGGGGCAUGCCUGUUCGAGCGUCAUUUGUACCUUCAAGCUCUGCUUGGUGUUGGGUGUUUGUCUCGCCUCUGCGUGUAGACUCGCCUCAAAAUAAUUGGCAGCCGGCGUAUUGAUUUCGGAGCGCAGUACAUCUCGCGCUUUGCACUCAUGACGACGACGUCCAAAAGUACAUUUUUACACUCUUGACCUCGGAUCAGGUAGGGAUACCCGCUGAACUUAAGCAUAUCAAUAAGCGGAGGA
rnacentral:misc_RNA from 1 species